AACGAACGCUGGCGGCAUGCCUAACACAUGCAAGUCGAACGAGACCUUCGGGUCUCGUGGCGCAGGGAAGCGUGACGCGUGGGAAACUGCCCUUAGGUUCGGAAUAACUCCCCGAAAGAGGUGCUAAUACCGGAUAAUAUCCUCGGACAAAAGAUUUAUCGCCGUUGGAUGGGGCCGCGUUGGAUUUGCUAGUUGGUAGGGUAAAGGCCUAUCAAGGCGACGAUCCAUAGCUGGUCGGGGAGGAUGAUCAGCCACACUGGGACUGAGACACGGCCCCGACUCCUACGGGAAGCAGCAGUGGGGAAUAUUGGACAGUGGGCGAAAGGCUGCACCAGCACUGUCGGGUGAGUGAUGAAGGCCUGAGGGUUGUAAAGCUCUUUUACCCGAGAUGAUAAUGACAGUACCGGGAGAAUAAGCUCCGGCUAACUCCGUG
rnacentral:rRNA from 1 species